rnacentral:misc_RNA from 1 species
GAAAUGCGAUAAGUAAUGUGAAUUGCAGAAUUCAGUGAAUCAUCGAAUCUUUGAACGCACCUUGCGCUCCCCGGUAUACCGGGGAGCAUGCCUGUUUGAGUGUCAUGAAAACCCUCAGCCUUAGAUUGGUUAACACCUUUCUUUGGCUUGGAUUUGGACGUUUGCCGAUGAUAAGCCGGCUCGUCUUAAAAGUAAUAGCUGGAUCUGUCUCGCGACAUGGUUUGACUUGGCGUAAUAAGUAUUUCGCUAAGGACAUCUUCGGAUGGCCGCGUUCAAGACUAAAGUCCGCUUUCUAAUCCAUUGAUCUUCGGAUUAAUAUUCUUGACAUCUGGCCUCAAAUCAGGUAGGACUACCCGCUGAACUUAA